rnacentral:rRNA from 1 species
GAUUAACGCUAGCGGCAGGCAUAAUACAUGCAAGUUGAACGGCAGCACAGGUAGCAAUACUGGGUGGCGAGUGGCGCACGGGUGCGUAACACGUAUGCAACCUACCCUAUACAGGCGAAUAACCUUUAGAAAUGAGGGCUAAUACGCCGUAGUAUUACAGAUGGGCAUCUAUUUGUAAUUAAAGAUUUAUCGGUAUAGGAUGGGCAUGCGUCCCAUUAGUUAGUUGGUAAGGUAACGGCUUACCAAGACGAUGAUGGGUAGGGGAUCUGAGAGGACUUACCCCCACACUGGUACUGAGACACGGACCAGACUCCUACGGGAGGCAGCAGUAAGGAAUAUUGGGCAAUGGCCGCGAGGCUGACCCAGCCAUGCCGCGUGCAGGAAGACGGCCUUAUGGGUUGUAAACUGCUUUUAUACGGGAAUAAUAGAGUGUACGCGUACAUUUAUGCAAGUAUCGUAUGAAUAAGCAUCGGCUAACUCCG